UUUCACUUGGAUUAAAUCUCAGCCAUCGAUUUACAAUAAGUUAUUAUUUAUGGAUCAAAUCUUGGCCAUCCAAAUCCUCCAGCAAUCUCCUUCUUUAUUUCACUGAUGGUUUGGUUUCUCCUUUUUCAUCUGUUUUCAUUCUUCUGGUGUUUUUAAUCGCGUGCACGUUCUCCUUUCAUGUCUUCCAUUCCAUCUUCACUCUCUUUGUUUGCGAUGUUGAGGCCAGGGAUUCCUCUCCCCGUUACAUCGCAAGGCCCUCUCUUUAACCCCCAAAGUUGUGGCUGUCGUUUUUUUCCGCAGCGGCAUCGACAUCGACGACGAGGUGGAGACCCUGAGGGCUCCGGCGGCCUGCGAGGUAGGGGAGAUAGGUGGAUGGCGAACUGAGGAAUCUGUCCCGUCCAUUAGGAACUGAGGAAUCGACUGCGAGAUUUGCACAACAGAUAUUAAAUCGCAGCCCUUUGCGGCUUAACAUUAUUUUCUUCUUGGCAGAUUUGCGGCUUCACUUAUCUGUGGUUCGUAGUCUACUAGGAGGUCCAGAAGAAGAAUACAAGCGCAUUUGGCUGACAUGGUGUUGAAGUGGUGAUUCAAAGUAUCUGCUUAAAAUUGGCAUUGAGUGCUACUGAUAAAAUCGGAUGUGGAAGCACUAUUUUUGGUUGGGGAGUGGAGAUAAGCAUUGAGUGCUACUCAGCUGCAUUUUGCAACAAUCUCAGGCUUUGAUCAAAUAUCAAUUGGGGGUAUUAUCAUUGAAAUUCAAUUUACCUUCCAAGUCCUAUCAUGAUGUAGGAUAUAACUGGGUUUUAUAUUACAAGGCUAUUUUUUAAGACUAUAUAUCUAAGAAAAUAUUCUUAAUUUAGAGAAAGAUCACUUAUAAUAAUUAAUAAAGAAUUGUUUGUUCCAAGAAUUUUCGUUGCUGUGUAACAUUUCUCAUGUUGAAAUCACUUUAUCUAUGUACCAGGUCAGGGUAGGUUUAUGUGAGUGUGAAUUCCCUCAGUAUUGUGACUCUCAAAGAUGAGUUUCACCAAGAUGGAAAUGAGAAGGUUUGACAUAUAAUUCAUCAAAUGGGGAAAUUGUUGCUAUUUUCAGAAUUUAAGAGCUGUGAACGGAUAUGGCCUUUUGUCUGUUGUAGAACUUGAUAUGUUAUUUUUGGGGGAUAAUGAGUAUCAGGAUUUUGGUGUUAAAUCUUUCAAUUGAAAAGCACUAUUUCUGUACUUCACAUAUUAUGAGAUGACCACGGGGUUCCUUUGAGAUCUAUGUUGUACAUUCAAAUAUCUCUACUGCAAAAUUACAUCUGCAACUUAAAAUCAUGUCAGUAAUAUACUUCCUAAUUCUAUGCUCCUUCUGGAUUAGUGGCUAUCUACCCUAUCUUGGUGUGUUUAUCUUUUAAUCUAAUAGUUUGUUAGAAGUUGAGAGGCCCAAACAUGCUUUGUUCUCCCAAUUUGAGGGGCUCUUAUUGGAGUUUGAUGAUUUUCUUAAGGGGCUGUUUGGUAUAUGAGGGACCCUUAUUCCUUCACAUGGUUUUUUUAUUGACUAGGUAGUAGGUAGUACUAUAGUUUCAAUGAGCAUAACGUUAUCUGCACAAGAGGAAAAUGAUUGAAGGUACUUCUUUUCUUUCUCUAAUUUAUCUCCUUCUACAGAGCCUUCAUUUGAAACCUUUUGACUUGAGUAUCUCUCAUGAAAAUACUUUUUUCUAUCUUUGAACUAAUCUGAAUCCCCUUUCUACUUGGCAAAUUAAAAGAAUUGUAGGUGCUUAUUUUGUUUCCUCAUUUUUAUUGCUUGCAAUUUUCUCUUUCUUGCAAUUUCUAUCUUUACUACAUGAUUUUGUGCACGUGUUUAUUGGCUUUCACACAUGAUUUGUUGGGUGUGUCUAUAAAAAAGUAGUUUCAUGUAUUUUUGUUUCAAUGAGCAUAACCUGAGGUCUGUUCUGCUUUUAUUAGUUGUAUCUUGAUACUACCGUGCUGAAUUUUAUAUUUGUGUGCAUUUGCCCUUGAGUAAUAGAUUAGGAAGCUUUGAAUGGAUAGUUUUAGGCAUUGAAUAGCACUUGACUUUACAUAAGACUUGGCCUCUAAAAUAUCAAAUCGCUUAAAAGAGGAAACUUGAUAAGAGAAAAGGGUGGUAGGAUUCUACCGGUUAAAUUGUUUGACUAAGUCUAUUUUCAAAUUUAUAUUAUUUUGAUUGUUUCAAAUUCUGAUGUAACAAUUGCAAUGCAUGCCAAUGAGUAUAUAGUUUCUGAAAAUUUUCUUUUCAUGACUCUUUCUAGAUUCUUUUGUCUAUCCGGUUACUCACUCCCUAUUUAUUUGUUGGCUUGCUGAAAAAGAUCCAGGAAACAAACUCAUGCUUUUGUAUUCAUUGCUUUCACGCUUAGUGGCCUCCAAAGCACUGAGAACCAAAUGAAUUCAAUAUGUUAUCAAGAAGAAGCAAAGUGCAGGUUGUGCCAAGAAGAAGUCAAUGGUGGAGCACACACAAGAGGAUCAUGAAGCUCACUCAUGGGAACAUCAAAUACAGUACCAAGUCAAGAGCCUAGAGAAUGUUUGCAUGUGUUUAGUGAAGCUCCAUCCUCAAGCUCAUCUUCAUCUUCCUGCCACAGUCCUAUUCUUGCCAAAUUUCUCAGCUUCAAAUUACAAGCUGAGAUGAUGAAGGGUCUCAAACAGUCCUCUUUGUGACAUGAGAAUGUGAAAUCAAGCUAGCAUUAAUUUUAAAGUGAUCCAUGUUUAUUUAUCAUAAAAAAGUGAUCCAUGUUUAUGAUACGUUUAUGUUUCAUCUAUCAAGUUUCAUGGCCACAUGUUAUGCUAUAGAGAUGGUUUGACAUUGGUGAAUGCCAUAUGUUACAUUAUGGCAUACUAUUUUUUAUUAGAGCUUAUUUUAUAUGUAAUAAUUUGUUUUCUCUUACAUAUAUGUAAUACCUAUCAUUAUUUAA